rnacentral:rRNA from 1 species
UCGGGAAUUUUGGGCAAUGGGCGAAAGCCUGACCCAGCAACGCCGCGUGAGGGAUGAAGUAUUUCGGUAUGUAAACCUCGAAAGAAUGGGAAGAAUAAAUGACGGUACCAUUUAUAAGCUCCGGCUAACUACGUGCCAGCAGCCGCGGUAAUACGUAGGGAGCAAGCGUUGUUCGGAUUUACUGGGCGUAAAGGGCGCGUAGGCGGCGCGGUAAGUCACUUGUGAAAUCUCUGAGCUUAACUCAGAACGGCCAAGUGAUACUGCUGUGCUAGAGUGCGGAAGAGGCAACCGGAAUUCUUGGUGUAGCGGUGAAAUGCGUAGAUAUCAAGAGGAACACCUGAGUCGAAGGCGGAUUGCUGGGCCGACACUGACGCUGAUGCGCGAAAGCCAGGGGAGCAAACG